rnacentral:lncRNA from 1 species
GAAGGGUUUCAUUUCUAGCAUGGUGUUGUUGAAGAUUGGCUUCAUAUUCACUAUUUUUCUCAUGGCACCCAAUGGUUAGAUUCCUUCUUGCUUAUCUCUACAUUAUAAUUCUGUAUUUUUAUCUUUAUAUAGAUUCACUACAAAAAGGGAAAAUAACUAUGGAUUUGGUCUUUAAUUUAUUGUUAAAUUGCUCGUAAAUAACAAAAUUAAAUGGUUUGAUGAUAUAUCACUAAAUCAAUUAUAAAGGCGAUUGUCAUGUGACCAGAAGAUCACGAGUUCAAGCCGUGAAAACAACCUCUUACAAAAAUGCUGCGUAAAAUAAAUUCUUGCGAUUCGACCUCGUACAUAGCUGACCCUUUUUCUUUUAUUACUAAUCCUUCAUUAAUUAGGAUUAGCAGCAGACUCUUGACAUAUAGGUGUUGCUAAACUAGUUAUUGUUUGAAUGUGUGCAUUUUAUCUUAUACCAACCAUAAUGAAAUAAUCUAAUUUUGACAAAUUUAUAUAAUUGAAUUUCAGUCAGCGUGGGAUGAGAUAUAGAUCCUGAAAUCUCAAGAUUCGGAAGGAGAUUAUUACUGCAAAUUAUAAAUGUUCCGAAAUUCAAUCCUAGAGUUAUGAGUUCGAGUGUCAAAGGAGCAAAAACAAUGGGUGUUCGAGGGAGGGGUUAAAAAAAUAAUUUGUUGACCUUGAUCAAACAACAAAUUAGUAUUUUCCUUAUAUGUAUUUUAAAUUUAUAUUUUAUUUGUCUUACUUUCUUUGGCUUCAUUUGGGAGUAUUUCUUGAAGAGUCUCAUUAUUUUUCCGAGCAAGAUCACAUUAUUUUAAUUUGUAAGGAUAAUAAUGAAAAAUUCAAAUGAUUAUAUGUUAUAAUUUUAUAUUUUAAUCAUUAUAUAUAUUCACUAAAAACGAAAAAAAUUGAAAAUAACUAUCAAUUCCGUUGCUAAUUUGUUGCUAAAUUACUCGUAACUAUAAAUAUUUUGAUAAUAUAUCACUAAUUUGGGCGGAAUCAGCUUAAAGACAUGGGUUCAUCCCAACCGUUUUCGUUAGAAAAUUAUAUUAUUUAUACAUGAUUAAAACUAUUUUUUAUGUAUAUAUAGUAAUAGUAGAUGUUGAACCUCCUUCAACUAAUUCGUUUGUUUAUUUAUUCUAAUUUUGAAUCCCCUUGGUGAAAAUUCUGAAUCUGCCCGUCUAAUUUCUACAUAUUAUGGUAGUAGUGAUUUAGAAUCUCCGUUCUAGCAUAUAGGUGUUGCUACAUUUAUUGUUUGAAUUUAUGCAUUUUAAUUAUCUUACACCAACCAUAAUCUAAUUUUGAUGAACUUAUAUAAUUGAAUUUCAGUCAGCGCGAGAUGGAAUAUAGAUUCUGAAAUCUCAAAAUUCGGAAGGAGAUUACUACCACAAGUUAUAAAUGAUGGGCCACUCCAUCCUAUGGUUAUGAAUUCGAGUGCCAGUGAAACAAAAGAGCCUAUAAUUCCAGGGAGGGGUUAAAAUAAGUCAUUUGGUUGAACUUGAUUAAACAACAAUAUGUGCACUAGACAACAAAUGAGUAUUUAUCUUGUAUGUAUUUUAUUUUAUUUGUCUUUAGUGCUUUUUUUAG